rnacentral:misc_RNA from 1 species
GAACUGCGAUAAGUAAUGUGAAUUGCAGAAUUCAGUGAAUCAUCGAGUCUUUGAACGCACAUUGCGCCCCCUGGCAUUCCGGGGGGCAUGCCUGUCCGAGCGUCAUUGCUGCCCUUCAAGCCCGGCUUGUGUGUUGGGUCGUCGUCCCCUCCGGGGGACGGGCCCGAAAGGCAGCGGCGGCACCGCGUCCGGUCCUCGAGCGUAUGGGGCUUUGUCACGCGCUCGAUAAGGACCGGCCGGGCGCCAGCCGGCGUCUCCAACCUUUUUUUCUCAGGUUGACCUCGGAUCAGGUAGGGAUACCCGCUGAACUUAAGC